GUUACUCUUGCAUUGACGCACCUUUAAAAUUGCAUAAAAAGAGUAAUUUAUCAUUUUAAGAAAUUUAUUUUAUUAAAUACAUGUUGUUGACGCAUAAAUCUGGUCGAUAGUGUUGCAAUCAGGUAUUCACGCCAACACUAAAUUUGUAUUAAUGGGAAUGACAUCAACUUGCACUUCCUUUGCACGAGAUGAUACUUGCAACCACGAGCACCUCCUACAAAACUCACCUGCACCCACAAAGAACAUUUAGGGGGAUGCCAAAUGUUUUUUGGACAGGAACUCUUUGACGCUUAAGUCAAUAAUCGAGCAUUUUUUGAAAAAAAAUUGUGCCCACAAUUCAUGUGGCUUAAUUAUAAUAAUUGUUUCUUCUUUAAACAACAAAGCUUUUAGGUGGAAACUAGAGAAAACUGAGAAAAUUUUAGAGAGAAAAGGGAAAUUAGUGGUAGAGAGAGAGGAAAAAAAAAACUUACCUGGUUUGAAUUUUGUAAGGGUUUUUAUAGAACUUGAAAACCCACGACUUUGGACUAAGGAAAUAGCCGUUAAUGGUUUGGGAUCGUGCCCUGAUUUUUCCAAGUAAAUCCACGAGUUGACUCUUGACCGACUCUCUGAAUUGACUUGGUUUAAGUCUCUUCCUACAUGAUUCUUACGCAAUCACAUUUACCAACCAAGCUGCCCACUUCUUGAUACCCCAAGCAAAUUGUUUGCAUCCACACCCUGAGGAGGCUCUCGGCCGUUUCUAAUGUCGAGGAGAGCAUGAUUUGCCCGGAAUCGUGUCCAAUAAUGCUCCCUCUUUCAUCCCUCAAACACAUGUAUUUUGUUUAGAGCGACAUUCUUGAUAUUGCAUUAGUUUUAUAUAUGCAUUCAGAGAAACGCAUAUAAUAAAUUUAUAAUUUAACUGGUCUGAUCAAUGAUCUUGG
rnacentral:lncRNA from 1 species